UGGGGAAUAUUGCACAAUGGGCGCAAGCCUGAUGCAGCCACGCCGCGUGUGUGAAGAAGGCCUUCGGGUUGUAAAGCUCUUUUAGCGGGGAGGAAGGCGUUAAGGUUAAUAACCUUGGCGAUUGACGUUACCCGCAGAAGAAGCACCGGCUAACUCCGUGCCAGCAGCCGCGGUAAUACGGAGGGUGCAAGCGUUAAUCGGAAUUACUGGGCGUAAAGCGCACGCAGGCGGUCUGUCAAGUCGGAUGUGAAAUCCCCGGGCUCAACCUGGGAAGUGCAUUGGAAACUGGCAGGCUAGAGGGUUGUAGAGGGGGGUAGAAUUCCAGGUGUAGCGAUGAAAUGCGUAGAGAUCUGGAGGAAUACCGGUGGCGAAGGCGGCCCCCUGGACAAAGACUGACGCUGAGGAGCGAAAGCGUGGGGAGCAAACAGG
rnacentral:rRNA from 1 species